rnacentral:rRNA from 1 species
AUUGAACGCUGGCGGCAGGCCUAACACAUGCAAGUCGAGCGGUAACAGAAAGAAAGCUUGCUUUCUUUGCUGACGAGCGGCGGACGGGUGAGUAAUGCCUGGGAAUAUGCCUUAGUGUGGGGGAUAACUAUUGGAAACGAUAGCUAAUACCGCAUAACGUCUUCGGACCAAAGAGGGGGACCUUCGGGCCUCUCGCGCUAAGAUUAGCCCAGGUGGGAUUAGCUAGUUGGUGAGGUAAAGGCUCACCAAGGCAACGAUCCCUAGCUGGUCUGAGAGGAUGAUCAGCCACACUGGAACUGAGACACGGUCCAG